UCAAUUUGAGCAUUCAAGAGACCAAUGAAUUUCGAAAACAAUGCAUCAAAUUCUACAUCCUUUGCACAGAUGAAAUCCCAGUAUGAAAUUACUAAAUCCUCGGAGACUAAAGGAACAAGCCAUUUAUUUUACAAGACUCGUAUUUGUGCAAAAAAAUCACCAAAGGUGCCUACAUGAUUUUAGCUGCCCUUAAAGGGGCCUGAUAUGGAUCCUUUAAAAAUAAUACUCAGCUGUCCAAGUGCAGCAGAUUUUUAAUUCUUUACUUUUUUGUUAAAAAAAAAAUAAAUAAAAAGUUGAAUCGAUCAG
rnacentral:lncRNA from 1 species